UACGGGGGGAGCAAGCGUUGUUCGGAUUUACUGGGCGUAAAGGGCGCGUAGGCGGCCACUGCAAGUCGGUUGUGAAAUCUCCGGGCUUAACCCGGAAAGGUCAACCGAUACUGCAGGGCUAGAGUGCGGAAGGGGCAACUGGAAUUCUCGGUGUAGCGGUGAAAUGCGUAGAUAUCGAGAGGAACACCUGCGGCGAAGGCGGCAUCCUGGACCGACACUGACACUGAGGAGCGAAAGCCAGGGGAGCAAACGGG
rnacentral:rRNA from 1 species